rnacentral:misc_RNA from 1 species
GUGAAUCAUCGAAUCUUUGAACGCAAAUUGCACUCCCUGGUAUUCCGGGGAGUAUGCCUGUUUGAGGGUCGUUAGAACAAAAAUCGAAGCGUCGCUCUUUUUUUUUUUGGGUUAUCGCGUUGGAAUUGAGCCGUCUUUCAAAUUUUUAUUUUUUUCAAAGUUGCUUUAAAUUCCUCCAUCCGGUUCGAUUAAAGCGUUUUUAAGAUCCACUUUUAUUAAA